GACGAACGCUGGCGGCGUGCCUAAUACAUGCAAGUCGAACGCUUCUUUUUCCACCGGAGCUUGCUCCACCGGAAAAAGAGGAGUGGCGAACGGGUGAGUAACACGUGGGUAACCUGCCCAUCAGAAGGGGAUAACACUUGGAAACAGGUGCUAAUACCGUAUAACAAUCAAAACCGCAUGGUUUUGAUUUGAAAGGCGCUCUCGGGUGUCGCUGAUGGAUGGACCCGCGGUGCAUUAGCUAGUUGGUGAGGUAACGGCUCACCAAGGCCACGAUGCAUAGCCGACCUGAGAGGGGGAUCGGCCACAUUGGGACUGAGACACGGCCCAAACUCCUACGGGAGGCAGCAGUAGGGAAUCGUCGGCAAUGGACGAAAGUCUGACCGAGCAACGCCGCGUGAGUGAAGAAGGUUUUCGGAUCGUAAAACUCUGUUGUUAGAGAAGAACAAGGAUGAGAGUAACUGUUCAUCCCUUGACGGUAUCUAACCAGAAAGCCACGGCUAACUACGUGCCAGCCGCCGCAGUAA
rnacentral:rRNA from 1 species